UACGGGGGGGGUAAGCGUUGUUCGGAAUUACUGGGCGUAAAGGGCUCGUAGGCGGCCAACUAAGUCGGACGUGAAAUCCCUCAGCUUAACUGGGGAACUGCGUCCGAUACUGGAUGGCUUGGAUUUGGGAGAGGGAUGCGGAAUUCCAGGUGUAGCGGUGAAAUGCGUAGAUAUCGGAAGGAACAUCAGUGGCGAAAGCGGCUUCCUGGUCCAGCACCGACGUUCAGGCACGAAAGCGUGGGGAGCGAACAGG
rnacentral:rRNA from 1 species